rnacentral:rRNA from 1 species
GGUUCAGGAUGAACGCUAGCGACAGGCCUAACACAUGCAAGUCGAGGGGCAGCACAAGGAGCAAUCUGAGGUGGCGACCGGCGCACGGGUGAGUAACACGUAUGCAACCUGCCUGUAAGCGGGGAAUAACCCGUUGAAAGACGGACUAAUACCGCAUAAUACUAAAUUACUGCAUGGUAAUUUAUUUAAACAUUUAUGGCUUACAGAUGGGCAUGCGCAUGAUUAGCUAGUUGGAGAGGUAACGGCUCCCCAAGGCAACGAUCAUUAGGGGUUCUGAGAGGAAGGUCCCCCACACUGGUACUGAGACACGGACCAGACUCCUACGGGAGGCAGCAGUGAGGAAUAUUGGUCAAUGGACGAGAGUCUGAACCAGCCAAGUCGCGUGCAGGAAGAAUGUCCCUAUGGAUUGUAAACUGCUUUUGCAGGGGAAUAAAGUGCAUCACGUGUGAUGUUUUGUAUGUACUCUGCGAAUAAGGAUCGGCUAACUCCGUGCCAGCAGCCGC